rnacentral:rRNA from 1 species
AUGCAGCAGCACCUUCCACCAGUGAGGAGAAGCAGUACCGUCAGCCAUGGAGGAUCCACCGUGGUUCUUCCUCCAUCGGCAAUGUCUGUUCCUGCGGAUCUUCUUUCCUCCGCCCAGCCUACAAAAUUCAAGAGGGGAGAUCGGGAUGCUGCGCGCCGCGCCCUGCUUGGAUCUGAUGGAGCGGGCGAGGUAGUGGUCGGGGCAUGGGAUGGCGCCUUCGUCGUCAGACCAUUGGGAUUCAGCAUAUUUCUGCAGUCUUCUUCAGAGAUCAGGAGGGGACAAAUGGGAGAAAGUACCAUGUACUGA